GGGGAUGAUCGGCUUCGACGGGGCAGGCUGACCGAGGAUUGCAGGCCGAGGUGCGCUCACCUCGUUAAUCCGGCGCAAAAACACAAAUGCCAACAACGGCAAGGCUUUCACCUUCGCGCCCCGCAGCAACCAGGCGGCUUUCGCCCUCGCUGCGUAAACGAAGCUAGCCACCCCCUCAGCCAGCCGGCUGAGGCGGCCCUACCAGUGCUUCUCGCAGGCUGGUAGCCAGCCGACAUAACUGCUCGAGAUGCAGUCUGGCAGACGCCGAUAGGCAGACUCAAGGCUCAGGGCUCACGCCCGGCAUCAUCGGCUAGUCCUCCCACAGCGGGCCGUCGCUGGUCGGCUGGAGGGCGAAACAUCAAGCAGCGACUAAGCCUGUAGUAUAUCUUCGCUCGAGUGUCUCGGACGCGGGUUCGAUUCCCGCCAUCUCCACCU
rnacentral:tmRNA from 1 species